GAAUGUCCUUUCCGACACGUGCAGUUACAACAGUUGAGAGGUGCAGUGAACAGGAUGAGGGCGUGAAAACUUAACGUCUGCGACGGCGAGUUUCGGUACUGAAACAAGUAUUGAUAUUGCAAAGAUGUGGCCAAAUUUCACAGAAGCUCAACAAAACUAGGUAAGACAGUCAGGGGUGGCGAAAUCAAAUGUCCGAGUUGCCCGAGUCGUACAUUUGCUUGUCUGGGCAAAUGAUUUUUUUCAAUUAAGUUGUCCGUGGUUGUCCACGGACAACAAGUUUUUUUUAAGUCCCGUCCAGGUAUACAAAAAAAAUACAUUGUAUUAAAGCUGUAAUUUAAGUUUUACAACCGGAAGUUGACACGCGAUUACAUUGACAGUGCUAUUUGCAGAGCAAUCAAGCUAAAAUACGUGCACUCUCCUGCGCAGUGAUCACCCUUAUUCUAUAAGAGACUGGAGCAUGCCGCAUUUUCAACAUUCAGCCCGACUGUUAGACAGUGUACAGACUGGUUUCUUUAUUUUUACUAUCAGACAGAAAUAAAAAGUAUCAAACUAAGAUAAUCAAAACACGGUUUACCUUGUAAUUUAAGACGGCGUUAAUGGGUAAGAUGGAACAUUUUGUUUUUUUAAAUCUUCAACAACGGAGCAGAAACCCGAAGCUUUGAGCAGUCCACCUCCCCAAUUAACUAAGAAAGAUUAUGAUAAAAAUAUGAUCUAAGUAAACGCACCAGAACUUUUCGAGAAACUUGGCUAACAGAUUUUCAAUGGUUACCAGUUGAUGAUAAUCAAAUUGCUACCAGUAGCAUUGCAGAGCCUCAGUCUGAUGAGGUCCACAUAUUGGACUAGUUUAAUUUGUUAAGAUUACGAUGUACUUAUGUUCAAUACAUGUUUUAAUAACACUAGCUUUGCAAGAUUAAAAGUUUGAGGAAGUCUUUAUAUUGUUUAUAAUAUACUGCUAUAAUGAAUGUACCAUUGAAAUACAACUAUAAACAAAACAAGCAAAUCAUACUAAUUUUGAUAUAUUCCACAUUAUUUUACAUUAAUCAAUAAAUGCGUUCAUAAUUUAUAUAAACAAUUACGGACAAGUGUAGUUCAGCAACGGACAAGUUAAAUUUCCUAAAUGGCUGUCCGUGGACAAGUAUAGUUUUUUGAGAUUUCGCCACCCCUGACAGUUAGUUGUCAUAUUACUGUAUCAUAACUUUCAACUGUUGUAGUGUAACUUUGAACACAUGCACUUCAAAAAAUGUAUUACUUUUGGUCAAUUUAUGAUGACAAUACAAUGGGAAUCUCUAGGAAAAACUUGUGUGGAGAAAACAAAACUGAAUUUGACCAUUCAUAUUUGAAUGUUAAUUGUAAUGGUUGCACGAAGAUUUAAAUAAAAUUAUAAUAUUUUUACUGGAUAUGUAAAACCAUUUACAAAGUCAUGCGUUAUAUUUUAUGAGAAGUUCAUUACAUGGUGUUGAGCAAUUUAUUGUGUUAUAGUUUUCCUCUGAUUCUACCAUGAACACGAUUGUUUUUUGCAACAUCACAGAAAACGGGAUGAAAAUGUUUUUUUGUUUUUUUUAGAGAUAUCAAUAAUUAUACAUGUUAAUAAGGCAAAGUUCUGAUCAAUACACAAGUUCGCUCAAAGUGGCCAAGAUAAUGUGAUGAUCAUCUUAUGAUGGGAAUCUCUCUGCAAAAAUAUUUGAAGAGAAACAUAUCUGAUUAUA